AGCGAACGCUGGCGGCAGGCUUAACACAUGCAAGUCGAACGCUCGUGGCAACACGGGAGUGGCAGACGGGUGAGUAACGCGUGGGAACGUGCCCUUUGGUUCGGAAUAACUCAGGGAAACUUGAGCUAAUACCGGAUAAGCCCUUUUGGGGAAAGAUUUAUCGCCGAAGGAUCGGCCCGCGUCCGAUUAGCUAGUUGGUGGGGUAAUGGCUCACCAAGGCGACGAUCGGUAGCUGGUCUGAGAGGAUGAUCAGCCACACUGGGACUGAGACACGGCCCAGACUCCUACGGGAGGCAGCAGUGGGGAAUAUUGGACAAUGGGGGCAACCCUGAUCCAGCCAUGCCGCGUGAGUGAUGAAGGCCCUAGGGUUGUAAAGCUCUUUCGGCGGGGACGAUAAUGACGGUACCCGCAGAAGAAGCCCCGGCUAACUUCGUGCCAGCCGCCGCGGUAA
rnacentral:rRNA from 1 species